rnacentral:rRNA from 1 species
UGCUAAUACCGUAUAAUAAUUAAAACCGCAUGGUUUUAGUUUAAAAGAUGGUCUUGCUAUCACUAAGAGAUGGUCCCGCGGUGUAUUAGUUAGUUGGUGAGGUAAUGGCUCACCAAGACAAUGAUACAUAGCCGAGUUGAGAGACUGACCGGCCACAAUGGGACUGAGACACGGCCCCAUACUCCUACGGAGGCAGCAGUAGGGAAUCUUCCACAAUGGACGAAAGUCUGAUGGAGCAACGCCGCGUGUGUGAUGAAGGGUUUCGGCUCGUAAAACACUGUUGUAAGAGAAGAAUGACAUUGAGAGUAACUGUUCAAUGUGUGACGGUAUCUUACCAGAAAGGAACGGCUAAAUACGUG